rnacentral:rRNA from 1 species
AUGUCUAGGAGAAUGUACCAAGGUGGUUCCUCGGUAAAGAAAGGACCCAGGAUUGCUAUACGUGAGCAAGAUGUUGAAUUGCCAAGGGAUGUGAAUGUACGAGCUUGUGAAUGGCCAUCCGAUGAUUUUAUGGUCGAAGCAGGCUUUAAGGAGGAAUUUGAUGCAUUUGUGCGUAAUGCUGAGCUGGAGGACUUCUUACAAGAUAAGUGUCCUCAGUACUAUCAAUUGACUAAUUCCUUUGUGCGGGGUUUAAAUAUAACUGUGCGCGUAAUUCUCCUAGUGUCAUAUUUGAUAUUUAUGAUACAUCUUAUACCAUGGACUUAG